UACGUAGUUAGCCGGUGCUUCUUCUACACCUACCGUCACCACCCGAAGAUGGCUUCGUCGGUGUCGAAAGAGGUUUACAACCCGAAGGCCGUCAUCCCCACGCGGCGUUGCUGCGUCAGGCUUUCGCCCAUUGCGCAAGAUUCCCCACUGCUGCCUCCCGUAGGAGUCUGGGCCGUGUCUCAGUCCCAGUGUGGCCGGUCACCCUCUCAGGCCGGCUACCCGUCGUCGCCUUGGUAGGCCAUCACCCCACCAACAAGCUGAUAGGCCGCGGGCUCAUCCUGCACCGCCGGAGCUUUCCACACCACACCAUGCGGCACGAUGUCAUAUCCGGUAUUAGACCCCGUUUCCAGGGCUUAUCCCAGAGUGCAGGGCAGAUUACCCACGUGUUACUCACCCGUUCGCCACUCAUCCACGGUGCAAGCACCGCUUCAGCGUUCGACUUGCAUGUGUUAAGCACGCCGCCAGCGUGUCCUGAGUCCACGGACUCAACUAC
rnacentral:rRNA from 1 species